AUGGGGGGAGGCUCGGAGGGAGGAGGAGACGCGGACGAGGGCUGCUGCAGCGUCGGGGACACCUCGCCGGGGACCAUCGUGUGGGUGCGCCGGAGGAACGGCUCCUGGUGGCCCGGCAGGAUCCUGGGCCAAGCCGAGCUGCCGCCGUCGCAGAUCAUGUCUCCAAGGUCCGGCACGCCGGUCAAGCUUCUCGGCCGCGAGGACGCCAGCGUUGACUGGUACAACCUUGAGAAAUCAAAGCGCGUUAAAGCAUUUAGGUGUGGGGAGUUCGAUGCCUGCAUUGAGAGGGCAGAGGCUACUCAAGGGACUCUUUCGAAGAAAAGAGAGAAAUAUGCACGGAGAGAAGAUGCCAUUCUUCAUGCCCUUGAAUUAGAGAGGAAACUGCAUCAGACUCAAGGUUUCAGACCUGCCUACUUUUCUGCUUGCACGAAACAUCGCAAAGACCUUGGAAGUACUCGCUACAAGAGCAAAAAGAGGAAAAGAAAAGAUGUAUCUGCUCUUCCUGCAAAAAAAGAAGCUGGGCAGUAUUUUCUCAAUGCCGGUUUGAAGAUAAACUUUUCAGAGUCGCUGGACACCUCAGAGAAUAUUAUCAGUAACCACAUUGGAGACUUAUCCCAUGUGAGACAUAUUCAGGGAGGAGCAAGUUUAGAGAGCAAGGAGGUUUGUACAAUUGUGAAAAAGAAUAGACCGGAUGGAAGCGAUUUCGAUGAAUCUAUUGAAAAAUGUGACAGACACCGACCACUUGUUCAAGUCUUGCAGAGCAGUGCAAAAUUGACGCAGCACUCGCCGCACAAUGAUGAUUAUGGGGCUAUCUUAAUUGGGGGAGAUAAAGAUCCAUCACCUGCCACCUAUCGGGCUAAAAGAAGAGCUGAUUUUGACACCGAAAGUUAUCUUCAGCAUCCAGAUUCCUCUUCUGAGGAACAUACAUCUUCAGACUUUGUUGAGAAACACGUAUCUGAGUCUUCAGAGAGGGAAUGCUCAGAAAGUGAAACAGAAGAUGAUGCGGAGCUUUUGCAAAGUGCUAAUAGGAUUCUGCCUCCAGAGUUACGCCCCCGUGAUCCUUAUUUCCUUCGGACUUCUGACAGGUUUGGACAUGUGGAUAAUUAUGAUGAUGAUGAUGAUGAUGAUGAUGACGACAAUGAUGUGGCCUAUUCUGCUUAUAUGCACCAAUUAAAUCAAUCAGAGGAAGAGGAUGGUUCUUCUGAGCUGGGUGUCUCCCGAUGGCAUAUAAAAGGUAAACGUAAUAACCGUAGUGCAGUGAAGAAAUCAACCCAUAUGACGGAUGGAAAAUCCUGUUUGGAUAAACCCAAUGGUCUCAUGAAAGGAUCUGUGUACAACUCAAAUGGUAUAAAUCAUAGGAAAGAGAAUGGGCAGACAUCCGAUCAGCAAAUGCUUAGGAACCAAAUCAAAGAGGAGCCCCACUAUGAUUCUGAUGAAACAGAUCUAUUCGAGGACACAAGCCACCCUGAGGUUAACUUGUAUCAUAGUCGAACAUACCCAUCAUCCUUGAAAGCUACAAGAGAUCUUAGCCGAAGCUACAUUUAUUAUAAUAAUGACUAUGAAAAUGAUUCUUCCAAGAUUUCUCCACUUAACUGGGAUACAGAUCAGAUAUUUCGUGUUGAUCGGAAGGCAUAUUGGGACGAACCUUCAUUUUACCAAAGAAAUGGCAGUUCACGUUUGGGUCGCAUGGGCCCAAUGUUGUUUGAUAUUGAUUUGAAGGUCCAAGCCAGCUACCAUGGAGAGCAUGUUCCUCUUGUUUCCUUGAUGAGCAGACUGGAUGGCAAAGCAAUUGUUGGACAUCCUAUCCAAAUUGAAAUACUUGUAGAUGGUUCCACUGAUCACCUGGUUUCUGGUGGUGAUAUUAGUAUGGAAGAGAGCACAGGAGCUCCAACGGCUUGGCGUACAGGCAGGAGGACAGCCAUGCAAAGAAUUCCCCGUUCUAAUCCUUUAGGAGCAUCAAUGGACGGUGGCAAUGAAGGCAGGCUUGCAUAUCCAGACUGGGAAAUGAAACCAGUCUUCAGUAAACACUCAGCUUCCGCAAAUCACCAGGUUAAGAAAAGCAUGUCAAAUAGCAAGAAGAGGUCAUCGGCAUCCAAAUCUCAAAAGAAGCCAUCCAAGAAGGCAAGUCUGUCAAGCCAGAAGGUCAGAACCCUCUCUUCGAUUCCCACUGGAAGAAGGCAUCAUGGAGGUGGCGCUCAAGCAAAGCCGCGUACGCACAGUGGCAUUUUCGGUGACUUGAUCAAACCAGGCGGAGCAAUUCCACCAGUUACAUGCGUCCCUGCAAAGGUUGUGUUCACAAGGAUACUGGAAGCAGUUGGCAGGCCACCUCUAGCUGCUGCUCGCCGUGUGAGAAUGGUUAGUCCUGAGGCACGAGAUCCAACAUAG
rnacentral:rRNA from 1 species